rnacentral:ncRNA from 2 species
UUCUUAUCCAGAGAGGUGGAGGGACUGGCCCUUUGAAACCUCAGCAACAGACUUUUGUACUGUGCUAAUUCCAGAAGCAACAUGCUUGGAGAUAAGAA